GACUCUUAGCGGUUGAUGACUCGGCUCCUGCUUCGAUGAAAAACGCAACUAGGUGCGAGAAUUAAUGUGAAUUGCAGGACACAUUGGUCAUCCACACUUGGAAUCACUUGCGGCCCCAGGUUUCUCCCGAGGCUAUGCCUGUCUGAGCGUCG